CCCCAGAGGUGACUAGCUACUGAAUCAAAGAGUUUAAAAACUCCUGAUGUCGUAAGGGAAAAUAAUGAUAUUACCUUACUAAUAGUGUCGUCCAAAACUGGUGCCAGAAGACUCGGUAAGACCAGAGACGCAAACGUUAAUCAUCAUAAACAGGCGUAAAGGGUUUGUAGGCAGCUUUUAUAAAGAAUAUAAUUAACAAAAUAAAGUAUUCUAAUUGAAAGCUAGAAUCAAAUAUAGGUUAUAGUGUAUAACGCUUAGAGGAGGGCUGAUAUCCUUAGAUCCUAGGCUGAAUACUAAGGGCGAAGGCCACUUUCCAUAAACGAUUGACGCUGAGAAACGAAGGUUAGGGUAGGAAAUAGGAUUAGAUACCCCGGUACUCCUUUCUGUAAACGAUGAAUGGUAGUCAUUAGUCUCAAAAGACUAGAGGCGAAGUUAACACGAUAACCAUUCCGCCUUGUGAGUACUACUGCAAAGUAGAAAACAAAAAAAUUAGUCGGUCUCGAAGCAAACGGAGUGAAGCAUGUUAUUUAUU
rnacentral:rRNA from 1 species